CGCCACUCUGCACUCUGGGCUGGACCGGGACUCUCCCCAGGGCUGGGAAGAGGGGAGAUGCACCAUCCCAGGCAUCAGCAGCACCAUGGAGACGUCUCUCCUGAGCCGUGUUCUGCUACGGGAUGAGUUUUUCUGAUCCGAGACGCAAUGGGAACUGGGAACAUACAACACACUGUACCAUCUGCAGCCCCAACCUCUUCCCAGAUAAUUAUAAAUUUGUGAAAAUAUGGCUGCCAAGCUCUUUAAAGCCAGGAAUGGGACUUAAGGCACAAAGGCUGACACACAGUAGCACCUAAGUAAAUUAAAUGUGCCACAUCACUACCUAUCUAUAUUACAGUCCUGAGCUUCAGGAUUACCUACUAAUAAAAGUGAUAUUUAAAACAA